UACAGAGGUCUCAAGCGUUGUUCGGAUUCAUUGGGCGUAAAGGGUGCGUAGGCGGCGCGGUAAGUCGGGGUGUGAAAUUCGUCGGCUUAACUCCGAAACUGCAUUCGAUACUGCCGUGCUUGAGGACUGGAGAGGAGACUGGAAUUUCACGGUGUAGCGGUGAAAUGCGUAGAUAUCAUAGGAAGACCAGUGGCGAAGGCGGGUCUCUGGACAGUUCCUGACAGCUGAGGACGAAGGCCAGGGGAGCAAACGGG
rnacentral:rRNA from 1 species